rnacentral:lncRNA from 1 species
GGGAGAGAGAAGAAGCAUUCACACAGGCAACCACAAGGCCCCCACACCAGAAGAGGAAAGGAGGGAUGAAGAUCCACCUCAGGAGAAAUGCUGAGAAAAUGCUGUUGAAGUCUUCCUUGUUUUCUGGCCCUCACACUUGCUCAGGAGGACCUCAGGCCUCAGAGGACAUUCACGUGAAGAGAUGACUUGAAGUGGGAAAAUCAGAAAGCUGUCAUGUUGACGGAAAACCACACCAGACCAGAAAAAAGAAAUGGACUGUAAUUUAAAUUGUGACUUGUUAUCUCAAUGUUUAUGGCAAUACAUUUAGUCUCAUU